GGAUGCGAUCAUACCAGCACUAAAGCACCGGAUCCCAUCAUAACUCCGAAGUUAAGCGUGCUUAGGCAGGAGUUGUACUAGCUAUCCAUGUGCCAAAAUUG
rnacentral:rRNA from 3 species